UGGAUCUCCACGUAGGAUUGAUAUUGUCUUCUUUUUACUUUGGAUGAUAAACAUAACUAUUUAACCACUCCAAAAAUCAAAUUUGCUACCGUUCAUCCACCAAGAGCCACCAGUACACCCCCAUCUUCUUAUCCUUACCGGUUAUUCCAGCCCAUUCUAGGGACUCAGAGAAAGUGAUUCACCAUGAAAAUCAAGUUAUUCAUUAGAAUACCCACAGUAAAGCAGCGACUAAUUUACCGCGGAAAGCAGUUCCAAUGGGAGCAAACGUUGGCAGCUAAUCUUUCACUUUUAUCUCAUCUUCUCUUCCUUGCACGAAUCACCAAUAUCAGAAAAAGGCAUAUCAACCUAGCCGAAAAAGAUGACUCGUGCGCCAAAAAGACCUUGUCUGCCAAAUCGAAAGGUUCUCCGGUCCGAGUUUAUUCUGAGGGCGAUAUUGCCAGACAGAUCUGAAGCUUUUCUAAGGAAGAAAUUUAAGAUUUUGAAAAUGGGUUUGGAGGGUGACUCAUUGGUAUUGUUUAAGUGGUAAUGGAUAAGGUUGGCACCUUCACUAUUUUGGUGGGCUAUUGGUGACGAAAGGUCCCUUUUUUCAAUGGUUGAGCUCUCUUAUAGUGGUAGUGAAAAGGUAAAUUUGGCUCUUUGUCGUUGUGGAUGGCUUUCUUCCUAGAGCAAAUUUUCAGGUGGUCGUCCAUGGUUCUCUUUGGGUUGGAGAAGAUAAUAUCAAUCCUGGGUGGAGAUCCAAUUCAGCUAAAAAAAUAUUUUUUUAUAACGCUUUGUGCCCCUGUGGAGUAACAGUUAGUUUUGAGGGUAUAAGUGGCCAGUUUAUUAAUGGCAGGGAUAUUAUUGAUACCCAAAUCCAAUUGAGGGAAAAAUUGCUCUAUUUCCAAUAGUUUAAGAGCAAUUUUGGUCAUUUUCCGUUGUUUUUAUUAUUUUUUAUUUUCUUCUACUCGUUUUUUCUCUUA